GACAGCAGGCCCGCCGGUGGCCCAACAAACUCUUGUUUUUACCGAGUAACAUCUGAGUAAAGCUUCUAAAUAAAUUAAAACUUUCAACAACGGAUCUCUUGGUUCUGGCAUCGAUGAAGAACGCAGCGAAAUGCGAUAAGUAAUGUGAAUUGCAG
rnacentral:rRNA from 1 species